rnacentral:ncRNA from 1 species
UGUUUGGAGAGUUUGAUUCUGGCUCAGGACGAACGCUGGCGGCGUGCUUAACACAUGCAAGUCGAACGGAAAGUGCUCUUCGGAGUGACUCGAGUGG